AUUGAACGCUGGCGGCAGGCCUAACACAUGCAAGUCGAGCGGAUGAGAGGAGCUUGCUCUUUGAUUCAGCGGCGGACGGGUGAGUAAUGCCUAGGAAUCUGCCUGGUAGUGGGGGGCAACGUUUCGAAAGGAACGCCAAUACCGCAUACGUCCUACGGGAGAAAGUGGGGGAUCUUCGGACCUCACGCUAUCAGAUGAGCCUAGGUCGGAUUAGCUAGUUGGUGAGGUAAUGGCUCACCAAGGCGACGAUCCGUAACUGGUCUGAGAGGAUGAUCAGUCACACUGGAACUGAGACACGGUCCAGACUCCUACGGGAGGCAGCAGUGGGGAAUAUUGGACAAUGGGCGCAAGCCUGAUCCAGCCAUGCCGCGUGUGUGAAGAAGGUCUUCGGAUUGUAAAGCACUUUAAGUUGGGAGGAAGGGCAGUAACUUAAUACGUUGCUGUUUUGACGUUACCGACAGAAUAAGCACCGGCUAACUCUGUGCCAGCAGCCGCCGUAAUAC
rnacentral:rRNA from 1 species